CUAGUCUCAGUUCGGAUUGGAGUCUGCAACCCGACUCCAUGAAGCUGGAUUCGCUAGUAAUCGCGCAUCAGCCACGGCGCGGUGAAUACGUUCCCGGGCCUUGUACACACCGCCCGUCAAGCCAUGGAAGCCGGGAGUGCCUGAAGUGCGUGAGCGCAAGCAGCGCCCUAAGGUAAAACCGGUGACUGGGGCUAAGUCGUAACAAGGUAGC
rnacentral:rRNA from 1 species